GAUGGACGCUGGCGGCGUGCCUAAUACAUGCCAGUCGAGCGAACAGACGAGGAGCUUGCUCCUCUGACGUUAGCGGCGGACGGGUGAGUAACACGUGGAUAACCUACCUAUAAGACUGGGAUAACUUCGGGAAACCGGAGCUAAUACCGGAUAAUAUAUUGAACCGCAUGGUUCAAUAGUGAAAGACGGUUUUGCUGUCACUUAUAGAUGGAUCCGCGCCGCAUUAGCUAGUUGGUAAGGUAACGGCUUACCAAGGCAACGAUGCGUAGCCGACCUGAGAGGGUGAUCGGCCACACUGGAACUGAGACACGGCCCAGACGCCUAAGGGAGGCAGCAGUAGGGAAUCUUCCGCAAUGGGCGAAAGCCUGACGGAGCGACGCCGCGUGAGUGAUGAAAGUCUUCGGAUCGUAAAACUCUGUUAUUAGGGAAGAACAAAUGUGUAAGUAACUAUGCACGUCUUGACGGUACCUAAUCAGAAAGCCACGGCUAACUACGUG
rnacentral:rRNA from 1 species